AACUCUGGUGCUUGGGGAGAGGUAAAGAAGAGAACAAAGAGGAGGACUAAGCAAAUUACAUCUCAGACUCUACGCUGUUCCUGGUGCUGAGGAGGGAAUGUUUGGGGAUGUUGGAUGAGGUGUCACACUGGAUGGGAUCCAAACUUUGAUCCUCAUGUUUGUGCAAGAAAUUCUUUACCUGUCUAGCUGCUUCUCCAAAUCAACAGUUGGCUCAAGUUUAUUCUUCAGGGAUGCGAUGCUGUGGUUAUGAAGCUGACAUCUGAAGAAAUGAUAUGAAGCCUUUUUUGCUGCCCUGAGAAUGGAAAUGAUUUCACAGAGGAGACAGUUAUGAACAUCCUUUGCUUGUCAAAUGCAGGCAUAAAUGCAC